rnacentral:lncRNA from 1 species
UUGUUUUCCAGCCUUGUCACGCUAAUGAAGUAUUUUUUUCCCAGCUUUUCAUUUCCAAUAUUGUAUUAUUAAUCCGUUUCAUGGAUUGAGAUGUUCCGAGACUCCUCCGUGGUACAGGUUUGACUCGAUACACUAAUUUUAGCACGUCUAGUGUCCCAUGAUCCGACAUUUAAUUUUUAUCAUCAAGAUUUGAACCUUUGCUUUAUAUUGAAAUAUUGUUAUAUCUAUUUAAUGGAUUGAGUUGAUUCACCUGUUUCAUCUCACUGUAUAUUCACUGUUGUAAUGCAUAGCUUGGGCCAACAUUGGUUUCAGUCGCCUCAACAUGUUAAUUUCAGCUCAAUUAUAGAAAAUUCUUAUAUAUUAUUUUAUUCUUUGUGUACGUCCUAGGUAAAUAUUUAGUAUAUAUCUUUAAUAGCUUGUAACUAUUUAGAAGUGUAUCCUACCUUAUUUAAGAGUGUAUCACUUUAUUAUUUUGUACCUUAUUAAACUUCUACCUUAUUUAGAUGAUUAACUACUUGUAUAAAUAGGACAUUGUAUCUCUAUUUUAUUUAAAUUGAAUACAUUCAAUAUUCAUAUUCAAUCAAAAUUCAAUUAUCAUUCAAUUCUCUUUUAAUUUUUUCGCCAUCUCCUUCAAACUUCAAUUCAAUUUCCUACAUGGUAUCAAAAUCGCAAUAUUCAAUCCAAAAAUCAUUCAAUAUACAUUGGAUCGUUCAAGUCAUUCAUUCAUUCAAAGUUAUUCACUCUUUCAAUUCAAGUAUUCAUCCAACAUUCAUUCAGUGACUCAAUAAUAUUCAAUAAUAUUUUCAAUAAUUCAUAAAAUAUUCAAUAUUCAUUCAGUUGUAUUAUUGAAUCAAUCAAGGUCCAAUAUUCAUUCAAUUCAAUUAUUCUUUCAAUUUUCCGCAUUCACCUUCAAACUUAUUUCAUUUUCUAACAUGCUAUCAGAGCAAGAUUUCUAUCCUUGCAUCAUCUUGUGUCAAUUUUCGUGUUUUUUUAUUUGAAAAUUACUUCUCAACUUUCAGAUUCAUUAUGUUUGGAACAUGUCAACUGGCAUGGUUCAUUUAUGGUGACUGAACUCAUCACACACUCUCUUUCUCUCUCAUUAUUAACAUCAUCAUUGUCUAUGGAAUAAUUCUUCUACCAAAUCAUUCAUCUUGCUAGUAUUCACAAUGUAUAGAACAAGUAUACUGACUUGGUUAUUUCACUGCACUCGCCAAUCUCAUAAUUUAUCAGAAUCAUCAUCAUUCCCAACUUUUGUAAUCUAGGAUUCAUUCAUUGUAGUUGUAUUUCGCUUUUUACAAUCCCAAUUCUUAUAAUUUUUUGGGUUUCUCUUUGUUAGAUUGUGUUUUUAAUCAUUUUAUUUUUGGCGUCUGAAGUUUUUUUAAGGAUCCUGGUAAAAAUCCUUGAUCCUGUUCAUCUUCACUUAUCAAUAAUCUCAAAAACAACACAAUCCUUCUUUCUUUUUCUAUUGUUUCUCAAAAUAUUCAAUUUUUUAAAAUUGUUGGUGAUUUUUUUUAAAAAAGGAUCAAAAUCAUCAAUCACAAUCAAUUUUUCAUUUUUUAAGGUCCUUCAUUCCAAUUUUAUAUAUCUGUUGUGGUAUUUUUAUUUUUUUAAGAUCUUUAUCAACAAAACCACUUCUUCGAACAUUAUUUUUCAACUCCUUUUUAUAUAUCAAUUCACAUCAAUAAAUUUAACUGAUGAUAGGGAUCUAGACCAACUAUUUCAUUCAUAUUAUAUGCAUGUUUGAUAUUAAAUUUAAUUUUUAAAUUUUCUUUUCAGUUUGGUCAUAUUCAUCACAAAGUUCAAUCCUCUUCUCAGUGGUUCUCUUCAUUACAAUAUAUUGUGCAAGUUGAGGGUUCUUUCGUACCCUCCAACUUAAGGGGGGAUAUUGAAAUAUUGUUGUAUCUAUUCAAUGGACCGGGUUGAUUAACAUGUUUUAUCUCACUGUAUAUUCACUGCUGCAGUACAUAGCUUGGGCCAAGAUUGGUUUCAGUCGCCUCAACAUGUUAAUUUCGGCCCAAAUAUAGAAAAUUCUUAUAUAUUAUUUUAUUCCUUGUGUACAUCCUAGGUAAAUAUUUAGUAUAUAUCUCUAAUAUUUUGC